AUUGAACGCUGGCGGCAUGCUUAAUACAUGCAAGUCGAGCGGAAGCGCGAGCUGCUUGCUUCCCGCAUGUGAGCGACGGGCGAGUGAUUAAUACGAACGUACCCUGCAGUUGGGACUAGGCUGACGAAGGGCGACUUAAGAUCGCACCGGAUCUGAUUGUGAAAGCGAGGGUUCAAAAGGGCAAGCGGUUUUUGAUGUCCCGUAUAGAUGGAUGCGCGUUGCAUUAGCUAGUUGGUACGGUAACGGCUUACCAAGGCGACGAUGCGUAGCCGACCUGAGAGGACGAUCAGCCACACUGGAACUGAGACACGGUCCAGACUCCUACGGGAGGCAGCAGUGGGGAAUUUUGGACAAUGGGCGCAACCCUGACCGAGCAACGCCGCGUGCGUGAAGAAGGCCUUCGGAUCGUAAACCGCUUUUGUUAGGGAAGAAAAUAUCUGUGCUAAUCCGUCGGCGUGAUGACGGUACCGGAAGAAAAAGCACCGGCUAACUACGUG
rnacentral:rRNA from 1 species